rnacentral:rRNA from 1 species
UUGAAAGGGAAACGAUUGAAGUCAGUCAUGCCGGUGGGAAUCAACUUAGGGGAAACUCUAGGUGCACUUCUUCGCUUGGCAGGUCAACGUCGAUUUUGAAUGUCAUAAAAUAAUUGGGGGAAGGUAGCUCCUUCGGGAGUGUUAUAGCCCUUGAUAGAUGUGAUGUUUGGGGUCGAGGAUUGCAACGGAUACCCUCUGGGGCUAGCCGCCUGAUCUCUAACCGGUGUUGGGUUACGGAUAGCAUGCUGACCGUGAUCUAAUUACUGGUUAAAAGGUUAGAGUGUGCAUAAAUUGCUUAAGGAUGUUGACGUA